AUACAUGUCUCGACCUUUUGGCUAAUAUAGUAUAAUAUGUGUUCUUAUUAGUUUAAUAUUUGCUAUGUGGACUAUACAUUCACUUUGAUAUUAAAUUUAUUUUAUGGGUACUUUUUGAGGGACGGUCCAUCACACUGGCUUACUAGGUGAGAGCACCU
rnacentral:snRNA from 1 species